rnacentral:rRNA from 1 species
GAACGCGAAGAACCUUACCCGGGCUUGAACUAAGAGUGACAGAUUUAGAGAUAGAUCAUUCUUCGGACACUCUUGGAGGUGCUGCAUGGUUGUCGUCAGCUCGUGCCGUGAGGUGUCGGCUUAAGUGCCAUAACGAGCGCAACCCUUUUCCUUGGUUGCCAUCAGGUAAUGCUGGGCACUCCAGGGAUACUGCCAUCGUAAGAUGUGAGGAAGGUGGGGAUGACGUCAAAUCAGCACGGCCCUUACGUCCGGGGCUACACACGUGUUACAAUGGGGGUACAGAAGGUCGCUACCUGGUGACAGGAUGCUAAUCUCAAAAACCUCUCUCAGUUCGGAUUGGAGUCUGCAACCCGACUCUAUGAAGCUGGAUUCGCUAGUAAUCGCGCAUCAGCCAUGGCGCGGUGAAUACGUUCCCGGGUCUUGUACACACC